rnacentral:rRNA from 1 species
UACGUAGGGUGCAAGCGUUGCCCGGAUUUAUUGGGCGUAAAGGGCGCGUAGGCGGUCACGCACGUCCGUUGUGAAAGCCCCGGGCUCAACCUGGGAAUUGCAUUCGAGACUGCAUGGCUUGGGUGCGGAAGAGGGAAGCGGAAUUUCCGGUGUAGCGGUGAAAUGCGUAGAUAUCGGAAGGAACACCAGUGGCGAAAGCGGCUUCCUGGUCCGACACCGACGUUCAGGCACGAAAGCGUGGGGAGCAAACAGG